rfam:Ictidomys tridecemlineatus contig080253, whole genome shotgun sequence.
UGGGUUGUGGCUCAGUGGUAGAGCACAUGCCUGGCAUGCGUGAGGCACUGGGUUAGAACCCUGGCACCACAU